UCAGGCCUGGCGUCCAGAACUUAAGAGUUGGCUCCGGGCGGCAACGGGGAUGCAGAAGCGAGCGAGCCUGCGAGAGCACCGAGGCUAGCCUCCGAGGCGAACCCCAGAAACGCCAGGACGGGUAACUUGCCCCUUUGCACUUCCCCGCUCAGCCCACUCAGGUUGCGGCUGGGAAUGACCCUCGCCGGCCGCCGUUCUUCUUCCGGAAGUCGUUGGCCGUUACCAUAGUGACUGUAGGCGUCCGGAGCGCUGAGCAGAGGUGCAGUGGCUCAUGCCUGCAAUCCCAGCACUUUGGGAGGCCGAGGCAGGCGGAUCACAAGGUCAGGAGUUUGAUACAAGACUAGCCUGCCCAACAUGGUGAAACCCCGUCUCUACUGAAAAUACAAAAACAGCCUGGCGUGGUGGUGUGCACCUGUAAUCCCAGCUACUGAGGAGGCUGAGGCAGGAGAACUGCUUGAACCCGGGAGGCAAAGGUUGCAGUGAACAGAGAUCGGGCCACUGUUAUCCAGCCUGGGUGACAGAGUGAGACUCCGUCUCAAAAAAUAAAUAAAUAAAAUAAGUAUUUCCUUUUAAUGCUAC
rnacentral:lncRNA from 1 species